rnacentral:lncRNA from 1 species
GUUACACAAGGGGUACCAAAGUCCACUCUGAGCUUUUCCUCUGGGAACAGAUCCCAGAUUAUUCCAGACUUAAGACAUGGAGAUAUAUCUUGCUAGAGGUAGGAAGAUGAUAAGAUCAGUUUCUAUAGGUAGAGGAUAAUGUGUCCUAAAAUGUAGGUAGAGAUAAGUCUGACAGUGGUUUAGACAAAAAGGGCCUCUGCUAAUGGUGGAGAGAUCAAGGAAGAAAAGAGCAACGUUAAAGUGAGGCUGUACCCACAGAUCAUGCUCAAGCAAAUUCGAACCGUGAGCGCAUUUCUCUUAAACAAUGAACACUUAGAAUAAAAAUUAAAAUUUCCCACAAAUUUCUAAUUUUAAAAUAGUUUCCCAAGAUUUCAGUGGUAUUGUAUAUAUGCCCAUAUAAUUUUUUGGAUUACUAUUCCCACAAGUGUAAGAUGAAAGAGGACCUGCCCUCCAUUCUAUCUACUCCCUCUCUGCAAAGGCCAUUUUGAAGAUCUCAGUUUUACUGAAAGGGGUCUGCCACACAUAACUUCCCUGGUGUACCAGCAACAAGUGUUCAGUGGACCAUGGCAACACAAAGAAUGACGGAGGAGAGAAAAUGCCAUGCAGAAGUGAUAGUCAAGAUGAAGAUGUGGGAGAGGAGCAGCCCCCAGUAUAUAUUCAGUGUGUCCUCUGAAGUAACAACCAUCCCAUCUGGCUGAGAAGUGAUGGACACGGCUCCUUAACCACACUGUACCCUCUGUUCUUGGCACCUCUCUACCAGAAAGAUAUCAACAAAUUGGAUGGAAUUCAGAGAACAUGACUUCCUAUUAUCCUUCUCAAAGUUAUUGCUGCAGAGGAAAGAAGCAUACAUCUUUUACCCACCAGGAAACCCCCAAAGCAUCUAUUACCAUAAUAGCCAUGGGAAACAGAAGGCACCUCAAAUAAAGGUGGGGAAAAGAAUGAAAGAAAUGGCUUUGGCCUGUGCCUGUUUGACCUCUGAGAGAUACUUUUUGCAAGAAAUUGUUAAGUUUUGGCCCAAAAAGUGGUCGGUCUUUUAUCCUUCCUUGUGGAGGCCAAACUGCAAACCAGGAUGAAGAAACCAUCAGUGGCAGUUUGGGGAGGUGGAGGAGGGACUAUCUAGACUCAGUGAAUCACCAAGGAAACAUGAGGCCUAUUUCUCUGUGAAGCUGAACUUCAAAAAACAAUCUAAGAGAUACAAAGGGAAAAGUGUGACUGCUCUGACAGCAAAAACAAGCAAAUAUCUCCAGAGGGGAUUAAUCCUUCUGCUUCAAAGUAACUAAAACAAAGAAAGCUGAGCCAGCUUCACUGGAAACAACACCUGUCCAUCAGACAAGGAUGAGCUAAUCAAAAGAAAACACUGCCUAUGUGCACGACUCAGCAGCCUGGACAGCUAAUACCAAGGAACACGUUUUCACUAUAAAGAUUCAGCUUUCAAAAUCCAGUUCCCUCUUGUAGAGCCACAGGGUUAAAAGGGACCUUAGAGAUCAUCUACAUACAGGCCAAACCCUCAAUGAAUGCCAGUGUUCGCCUUAUGUUCUUCUUGCCGGACUCUUUUCUGGCCUCUGUUCUGUCAGGAUGUUUCCUGUUUUGCAAAACAGCUUUAAUCCUUGAGUAUAUUUAAUUGUUAGAAAACAGUUCCUCAAAUUUGACCCCAAAUUUAAGUCUAAUUUAUGAAGAAAGUUUUGCCUUUGGAGACAGGUUUAAUUUUACUUCCAUGUGGAAAACCUUCAAAUAAAAUGAUGACUAUUGUGUACUCA